rnacentral:rRNA from 1 species
UACAGAGGUCUCAAGCGUUGUUCGGAUUCAUUGGGCGUAAAGGGUGCGUAGGUGGCGCCGUAAGUCGGGUGUGAAAUUUCGGAGCUUAACUCCGAAACUGCAUUCGAUACUGCGGUGCUUGAGGACUGGAGAGGAGACUGGAAUUCCUGGUGUAGCGGUGAAAUGCGCAGAUAUCAGGAGGAACACCGGUGGCGAAGGCGGGGUCUCUGGGCCGAUACUGACGCUGAGGAGCGAAAGCGUGGGGAGCGAACAGG